rnacentral:tRNA from 1 species
GGCCUCGUAGCUCAGUUGGCUAGAGCGUUGACUGUACUAAAGCCUUCCCAUGUUGGCGUGGGUUCGAAUCCCACAGAGGCCG